GACGAACGCUGGCGGCGUGCUUAACACAUGCAAGUCGAACGGUGAAGCGCCUUCCUUUUUGGUGGGUGUGGAUGAGUGGCGAACGGGUGAGUAACACGUGAGUAACCUGCCCCCUUCUUCUGGAUAACCGCAUGAAAGUGUGGCUAAUACGGGAUAUUCUGGGUCUGUCGCAUGAUGGGUCUGGGAAAGAUAUUGUUUCGGUGGGGGAUGGGCUCGCGGCCUAUCAGCUUGUUGGUGGGGUGAUGGCCUACCAAGGCGGUGACGGGUAGCCGGCCUGAGAGGGUCGACGGUCACACUGGGACUGCGCCACGGCCCAGACUCCUACGGGAGGCAGCAGUGGGGAAUAGUGCACAGUGGGCGCAAGCCUGAUGCAGCGACGCCGCGUGAGGGAUGGAGGCCUUCGGGUUGUGAACCUCUUUCGCCAGUGAAGCAGGCCUGCCUCGUUUGUGGGUGGGUUGACGGUAGCUGGAUAAGAAGCGCCGGCUAACUACGUG
rnacentral:rRNA from 1 species